rnacentral:rRNA from 1 species
AGAGAUGGUAAUGCAUCUUGUACUACGGUACGCAGGAGACAGGUGGUGCAUGGUUGUCGUCAGCUCGUGUCGUGAGAUGUUGGGUUAAGUCCCGCAACGAGCGCAACCCCUGCCCCCAGUAGCCAGCAUGUAAAGGUGGGCACUCUGAGGGGACAGCCGGGGAUAACCCGGAGGAAGGCGGGGAUGACGUCAAAUCAUCAUGCCCCUUAUGACCGGGGCUACACACGUGCUACAAUGGCGUAAACAAAGGGAAGCGAGAGUGCGAGCUUAAGCGAACCCCAAAAAUAACGCCUCAGUUCGGAUUGCAGCCUGCAACUCGGCUGCAUGAAGUUGGAAUCGCUAGUAAUCGCGGAUCAGAAUGCCGCGGUGAAUACGUUCCCGGGUCUUGUACACACCGCCCGUCACACCAUGGGAGUCGGGAAUGCCCGAAGUCGGUGACCUAACCGAAAGGGAGGAGCCGCCGAAGGCAGGCCUGGUAACUGGGGUGAAGUCGUAACAAGG